AUUGAACGCUGGCGGCAGGCCUAACACAUGCAAGUCGAGCGGAGAUGAGGUGCUUGCACCUUAUCUUAGCGGCGGACGGGUGAGUAAUGCUUAGGUAUCUGCCUAUUAGUGGGGGACAACAUUCCGAAAGGAACGCUAACACCGCAUACGUCCUAUGGGAGAAAGCAGGGGAUCUUCGGACCUUGCGCUACUAGAUGAGCCUAAGUCGGAUUAGCUAGUUGGGGGGGUAAAGGCCUACCAAGGCGACGAUCUGUAGCGGGUCUGAGAGGAUGAACCGCCACACUGGGACUGGGACACGGCCCAGACUCCUACGGGGGGCAGCAGUGGGGAAUAUUGGACAAUGGGGGGAACCCUGAUCCAGCCAUGCCGCGUGUGUGAAGAAGGCCUUAUGGUUGUAAAGCACUUUAAGCGAGGAGGAGGCUACUGAGACUAAUACUCUUGGAUAGUGGACGUUACUCGCAGAAUAAGCACCGGCUAACUCUGUGCCAGCCGCCGCCGUAAUAC
rnacentral:rRNA from 1 species